rnacentral:rRNA from 1 species
AUUGAACGCUGGCGGCAUGCUUUACACAUGCAAGUCGAACGGCAGCGCGGGCUUCGGCCUGGCGGCGAGUGGCGAACGGGUGAGUAAUGCAUCGGAACGUGCCCAGUAGUGGGGGAUAGCCCGGCGAAAGCCGGAUUAAUACCGCAUACGACCUGAGGGUGAAAGCGGGGGACCGAAAGGCCUCGCGCUAUUGGAGCGGCCGAUGUCGGAUUAGCUAGUUGGUGGGGUAAAGGCUUACCAAGGGGACGAUCCGUAGCUGGUCUGAGAGGACGACCAGCCACACUGGGACUGAGACACGGCCCAGACUCCUACGGGAGGCAGCAGUGGGGAAUUUUGGACAAUGGGGGCAACCCUGAUCCAGCCAUGCCGCGUGCGGGAAGAAGGCCUUCGGGUUGUAAACCGCUUUUGUUCGGAAAGAAAUCCUCUGGGCUAAUACCCCGGGGGGAUGACGGUACCGGAAGAAUAAGCACCGGCUAACUACGUG